rnacentral:tRNA from 1 species
ACAAACUAUAGUUUAUAUAAAAUAUAUAAUUUGCAAUUAUAAGAUCACCAGUUUAAA